rnacentral:rRNA from 1 species
GAUGAACGCUAGCGGCAGGCUUAAUACAUGCAAGUCGAGGGACAGCACAGGUAGCAAUACUGGGUGGUAACCGGCAAACGGGUGCGGAACACGUACACAACCUUCCUUUAAGUGGGGGAUAGCCCAGAGAAAUUUGGAUUAAUACCCCGUAAUAUAGUUGAAUGGCAUCAUUUGAUUAUUAUAGCUACGGCGCUUAAUGAUGGGUGUGCGGCUGAUUAGAUAGUUGGCGGGGUAACGGCCCACCAAGUCUACGAUCAGUAGCUGAUGUGAGAGAAUGAUCAGCCACACGGGAACUCAGACACGGGCCCGACUCCUACGGGAGGCAGCAGUAAGGAAUUUUGGUCAAUGGACGCAAGUCUGAACCAGCCAUGCCGCGUGAAGGAUUAAGGUCCUCUGGAUUGUAAACUUCUUUUAUUUGGGACGAAAAAGGGUCUUUCUAGGUCAACUGACGGUACCAGAUGAAUAAGCACCGGCUAACUCCGUGCCAACCGCCGCGGUAACAC